CUCCAGGGAUGCCAUGGAUCAGGGAAGCCCAGACCCUUUCAGAAACUCAAGUACUUACAAAAUCCUAUUAAGAGCCAUUAUGCAACUUGGCUGCAGAUUGGAAUUUCCAGAGCAUGAUGCCAUGACAAACACAGGGGAUGUGCAAACAUCGUGAACACAGUAGUGCUCUGUAUGUGUCUUGAACUCAUAAGAUACAAUCUAACUGCAAAGGUCAACCCUGUCUUCAAAGAAGAGCUUAGUUUCCUCCUCAUGCAUAUAGCCCCUCCUUCCUUACUCUUCUUCCUCCUUGCUUGGGAAAGGUCUCUUGUCUGUAAGAAAAACAUACUUGCUUAAUGUGAGCUCUUCUCAGGUUCUCUGAAAUAAACCUGCCUGCACUUUGAGUCCAGUCUCCUGACUUCAUUUCCACAU
rnacentral:lncRNA from 1 species